GACGAACGCUGGCGGCGUGCUUAACACAUGCAAGUCGAACGAAGAGCGAUGGAAGCUUGCUUCUCUCAAUCUUAGUGGCGAACGGGUGAGUAACGCGUAAUCAACCUGCCCUUCAGAGGGGGACAACAGUUGGAAACGACUGCUAAUACCGCAUACGAUCUAAUCUCGGCAUCGAGGAUAGAUGAAAGGUGGCCUCUACAUGUAAGCUAUCACUGAAGGAGGGGAUUGCGUCUGAUUAGCUAGUUGGAGGGGUAACGGCCCACCAAGGCGAUGAUCAGUAGCCGGUCUGAGAGGAUGAACGGCCACAUUGGGACUGAGACACGGCCCAGACUCCUACGGGAGGCAGCAGUGGGGAAUCUUCCGCAAUGGACGAAAGUCUGACGGAGCAACGCCGCGUGAGUGAUGACGGCCUUCGGGCUGUAAAGCUCUGUUAAUCGGGACGAAAGGCCUUCUUGCGAAUAGUGAGAAGGAUUGACGGUACCGGAAUAGAAAGCCACGGCUAACUACGUG
rnacentral:rRNA from 1 species